rnacentral:rRNA from 1 species
GUGGGGAAUAUUGGACAAUGGGCGAAAGCCUGAUCCAGCCAUGCCGCGUGUGUGAAGAAGGUCCUCGGAUUGUAAAGCACUUUAAGUUGGGAGGAAGGGCAGUAAGUUAAUACCUUGCUGUUUUGACGUUACCGACAGAAUAAGCACCGGCUAACUUCGUGCCAGCAGCCGCGGUAAUACGAAGGGUGCAAGCGUUAAUCGGAAUUACUAGGCGUAAAGCGCGCGUAGGUGGUUUUGUAAGUUGGAGGUGAAAUACCCGGGCUCAAACUGGGAACUGCCUCCAAAACUACUGAGCUAGAGUACGGUAGAGGGUAGUGGAAUUUCCUGUGUAGCGGUGAAAUGCGUAGAUAUAGGAAGGAACACCAGUGGCGAAGGCGACUACCUGGACUGAUACUGACACUGAGGUGCGAAAGCGUGGGGAGCAAACAGGAUUAGAAACCCCAGUAGUCC